UGGGGAAUAUUGCGCAAUGGGGGGAACCCUGACGCAGCAACGCCGCGUGAGCGAAGAAGGCCUUCGGGUCGUAAAGCUCUGUCAUAGGGGAAGAGGAGAAGACGGUACCCUAUGAGGAAGCCCCGGCUAACUACGUGCCAGCAGCCGCGGUAAUACGUAGGGGGCGAGCGUUGUCCGGAAUUACUGGGCGUAAAGGGUGCGUAGGCGGCCUGAUAAGUCAGAUGUGAAAUACCAGGGCUCAACCCUGGGGGUGCAUUUGAAACUGUCGGGCUUGAGUGCAGGAGAGGAAAGCGGAAUUCCUGGUGUAGCGGUGAAAUGCGUAGAUAUCAGGAGGAACACCAGUGGCGAAGGCGGCUUUCUGGACUGUAACUGACGCUGAGGCACGAAAGCGUGGGGAGCGAACAGG
rnacentral:rRNA from 1 species